GAUGAACGCUGGCAGCGUGCCUAAUACAUGCAAGUCGAGCGAACAGACGAGGAGCUUGCUCCUCUGACGUUAGCGGCGGACGGGUGAGUAACACGUGGAUAACCUACCUAUAAGACUGGGAUAACUUCGGGAAACCGGAGCUAAUACCGGAUAAUAUAUUGAACCGCAUGGUUCAAUAGUGAAAGACGGUUUUGCUGUCACUUAUAGAUGGAUCCGCGCCGCAUUAGCUAGUUGGUAAGGUAACGGCUUACCAAGACAACGAUGCGUAGCCGACCUGAGAGGGUGAUCGGCCACACUGGAACUGAGACACGGUCCAGACUCCUACGGGAGGCAGCAGUAGGGAAUCUUCCGCAAUGGGCGAAAGCCUGACGGAGCAACGCCGCGUGAGUGAUGAAGGUCUUCGGAUCGUAAAACUCUGUUAUUAGGGAAGAACAAAUGUGUAAGUAACUAUGCACGUCUUGACGGUACCUAAUCAGAAAGCCACGGCUAACUACGUG
rnacentral:rRNA from 1 species